rnacentral:lncRNA from 1 species
UUCACAACUCGCAUCUCGAGCCCACGGAGUUCAUCACAGAUCUCAAGCACUCUCCGCUCACACACACCAUUUUCUUCUCCUCCUCCUCCGAAGCUUUGGCCAGCUUCCUCCUCCACCGUCAGAGAAUACCAAUGGCUCGCUUCGCUGUGGUCGCCGCCAUCGUCGCGCUUCUCGCCGCCACCGCGGCCGCGCAGGCCCCGGCCGCGACGCCAACCCCGGCGCCCAGGAUGGCCCCGCUGCCGCCUCCCCCGGCGCGGUCCCCGGCCACCGCCCCGUCUCCGGCCGCGAAGCCGCCCACCGCCUCGGCGCCGUCCCCGAUGGCCUCUCCCCCGGCCCCGCCCACGGAGGCCCCGACCGCGACCGCGCCCUCCGCGGUGACCCCGACCACCUCAGUCUCCGCCCCGGCCGGCGCCCCCACCGAGACUCCCGCCGGCAACGGCGCCGCCUCCUCCGCCGUCAGCUUCGUCGCCGUCGUCGGCGCGGUCGCCGCCGCCGUCGUGUUCUAGAUGAUGAGAUGCGCCGUCGGAGUGGGUCGUGUCAUGGGAUCUCGUGUUGUUUAUACUGUCAUUCUUUUUGCGAUUCUUUUUUAGAUAC